rnacentral:miRNA from 1 species
AGCCUGGAGUCAAGAAAAUCUG